GUGCAAAACUCCACUUCGCACAACAAAAUAGAGGUGCGCUGCGGGACGCUCCGGUUUGCGCAAAAUAGAGUUGCUUUGCGGGACUUCGCUUGGGUUCGUGCAAAACAGAGGUUUGCGGCACAUCGCUCCGGAUCGCGAAAAUCAGAGUUUCUGAAGGAAGAAUUUCUGUUACGGAAGUGCAAAACUCCACUUCGCACAACAAAAUAGAGGUGCUUUGCGGGACUUCGCUCGGGUUUGCGCAAAACAGAGGUUUGCGGCACUUCGCUCCGGAUUGCGAAAAUCAGAGGUUCUUUUCGGCCCUACUCGUAUUUUGCAUUCGCAAAAGUCUCAGUUUCGUAAAUGAGCUGCAUUUCGCUAUUGUUCGAUCUUAUGUAGACUUUUCCCGAUCCUAUAAAUUGUUGUAUGUAAAUCAUGGCACGUUGCUUUGGCACCACCAAUCUGAAUUCCAUCAAUCAACUAAAACUUAGGGUAGUGGGGCGUGGAUGAAGGGGUUUUAGAAGGCGAGCUUAUGCAAGUGAGCUGCUCUUAACAAUUAUGAGGAACCCCAAUGAUGCCUGCCAAUUAUUUGCGCAAAGGUCUACGCUUGAAUUGGCUUAG